GACGAACGCUGGCGGCGUGCUUAACACAUGCAAGUCGAACGGAAAGGCCCUGCUUUUGUGGGGUGCUCGAGUGGCGAACGGGUGAGUAACACGUGAGUAACCUGCCCUUGACUUUGGGAUAACUUCAGGAAACUGGGGCUAAUACCGGAUAGGAGCUCCUGCUGCAUGGUGGUGGUUGGAAAGUUUCGGCGGUUGGGGAUGGACUCGCGGCUUAUCAGCUUGUUGGUGGGGUAGUGGCUUACCAAGGCUUUGACGGGUAGCCGGCCUGAGAGGGGGACCGGCCACAUGGGGACUGAGAGACGGCCCAGACUCCUACGGGAGGCAGCAGUGGGGAAUAUUGCACAAUGGGCGGAAGCCUGAUGCAGCAACGCCGCGUGCGGGAUGACGGCCUUCGGGUGGUAAACCGCUUUCGCCGGUGACGAAGCGUGAGUGACGGUAAUGGGUAAAGAAGCACCGGCUAACUACGUG
rnacentral:rRNA from 1 species